CGAUACAUCGACUGAAAUAGGUUAUUGCUAACAAUACUAUAACUAACGACGUGCCAGUCUACGAGCUAGAGUACAAGAUGUGUGUCCAGUCGAAUCUCAGAUUGCGAGAAACUGGAAAUUUGAAUUCCUGGGCUCAAAAUACGUCGAAUAUAUACAACAAUUAACUUCAAAAUCGGAUGAAGUUGACGAAGCUAUAGUCGGAUUUCAUACAGCCUCAGAAAUGAGAUCUGAAAUAUCAUUUUUUUUUGACUCAGCA
rnacentral:misc_RNA from 1 species